CUCCAAACAGCCAAACCGGAACCAUACGAAUGCUAUAAACAGCCGAACAGGAAUAAACCAUACGAAAGGUUUACUCCUAGCAGUCGAACUGGAAACAGCAUACAAUAAAUCCUCCCAAUAACGAGACAAGUCUCUGUGUUGAGGGUCAAGCAGUGCUCUGGUUUAAUGGGGCUACCUGCCCGGUAUUUAUGCAGGUUUUCCACCUGGUGGACACUCCCCUAGGGGACCAGAUGGAAGACUGGGACACAAAUGGUACACUGACCAAUCACAGACAUACACAGUGAAUUAUCUUCCAGGACAGAGGCGAGACUCC